UACGUAGGUGGCAAGCGUUGUCCGGAUUUACUGGGCGUAAAGAGCGCGCAGGCGGUCGUUCAAGUCGCGUGUGAAAGCCCCCGGCUCAACUGGGGAGGGUCACGCGAUACUGAUCGACUCGAAGGCAGGAGAGGGAAGUGGAAUUCCCGGUGUAGUGGUGAAAUGCGUAGAUAUCAAGAGGAACACCAGUGGCGAAGGCGAGUCCCUGGACAACUUCUGACGCUGAGGCACGAAAGCUAGGGGAGCAAACAGG
rnacentral:rRNA from 1 species